rnacentral:rRNA from 1 species
CCUACGGGAGACAGCAGUGGGGAAUAUUGGGCAAUGGGCGAAAGCCUGACCCAGCAACGCCGCGUGAAUGAAGAAGGCUUUCGGGUUGUAAACUUCUUUUCUGAGGGACGAAGAAAGUGACGGUACCUCAGGAAUAAGCCACGGCUAACUACGUGCCAGCAGCCGCGGUAAUACGUAGGUGGCAAGCGUUAUCCGGAAUUACUGGGUGUAAAGGGCGUGUAGGCGGGAAAGCAAGUCAGAUGUGAAACCUCAGGGCUCAACCCUGAGCCUGCAUUUGAAACUGUUUUUCUUGAGUGCUGGAGAGGCAAUCGGAAUUCCGUGUGUAGCGGUGAAAUGCGUAGAUAUACGGAGGAACACCAGUGGCGAAGGCGGAUUGCUGGACAGUAACUGACGCUGAGGCGCGAAAGCGUGGGGAGCAAACAGGAUUAGAUACCCUAGUAGUC